rnacentral:rRNA from 1 species
AGUGAACGCUGGCGGUAGGCCUAACACAUGCAAGUCGAACGGCAGCACAGUAAGAGCUUGCUCUUACGGGUGGCGAGUGGCGGACGGGUGAGGAAUACAUCGGAAUCUACUUUUUCGUGGGGGAUAACGUAGGGAAACUUACGCUAAUACCGCAUACGACCUACGGGUGAAAGCAGGGGAUCUUCGGACCUUGCGCGGUUGAAUGAGCCGAUGUCGGAUUAGCUAGUUGGCGGGGUAAAGGCCCUCCAAGGCGACGAUCCGUAGCUGGUCUGAGAGGAUGAUCAGCCACACUGGAACUGAGACACGGUCCAGACUCCUACGGGAGGCAGCAGUGGGGAAUAUUGGACAAUGGGCGCAAGCCUGAUCCAGCCAUACCGCGUGGGUGAAGAAGGCCUUCGGGUUGUAAAGCCCUUUUGUUGGGAAAGAAAAGCAGCAGGUUAAUACCCCGCUGUUCUGACGGUACCCAAAGAAUAAGCACCGGCUAACUUCGUG